CACGCCGUUACAGAUUCAUUCAGACAUACUGGCAAACAACAACGAAGGAACGGCGUUUUUAGUAAAUUCCAUUUCACAAUUUCCUGACAAGAAUCAAUAUUUAGGUAUACCCAGAAUAAACUUUAUGGAUCCAAGAAAGGUGGGACGGUCGACUAAUCAAUCAGCGGCUGAAUUUACUUAUCAAGAAUUGGUACAGAUUGGUAAAAAAAUUCCGGCUAAUUGGGAAAUGGUCGCUCUACUUACUGGGAAAUUUGAAGCUGAUGAGAUCGAUAAUAUUCGUCGGGAUCAUAUUAACCUCUAUGAUAACGUGCAGAAAGCAACACGAAUGUUGAAUAUGUACAAGACCAAGAAAGGUACUAGAGAACUGCUGGCGAAAGCUUUGGAAGAAAAUGGACGACUUGACAUAGCCGAAAACGUUCGAUCCAAGUAUUAUCAAACAACUGUGGGCGAAGGAACACAAGUUUCCAGUAA